GAUGAACGCUAGCGGCAGGCUUAACACAUGCAAGUCGAGGGGCAGCGUGGAGCAGCAAUGCUCUGACGGCGACCGGCGGAAGGGUGCGUAACACGUGAGCGACUUGCCCGUCACAGGGGGAUAACCGGCGGAAACGGCGACUAAUACCCCAUAUGAUGCGAUGCUGCAUGGCAUUGCAUUGAAAGAUUCAUCGGUGGCGGAUAGGCUCGCGGGACAUUAGCUAGACGGCGGGGCAACGGCCCACCGUGGCGACGAUGUCUAGGGGUUCUGAGAGGAAGGUCCCCCACAUUGGAACUGAGACACGGUCCAAACUCCUACGGGAGGCAGCAGUGAGGAAUAUUGGUCAAUGGACGAGAGUCUGAACCAGCCAAGUAGCGUGAAGGAUGAAGGUCCUACGGAUUGUAAACUUCUUUAUAAGGGAAUAAAACCUCCCACGUGUGGGAGCUUGUAUGUACCUUAUGAAUAAGCAUCGGCUAACUCCGUG
rnacentral:rRNA from 1 species